CCUCUUAAACUUACCUUGCAGAUCGGCAUCUGACAGGCUAGGAGGGCACCUUUACUAGAUAAGCUGUUACGAGGCACACGCACUAUUUGAGUGAUUUCUUUUAAAACUAUAUUAGAUGGUAGUCUCUGUCCACCCCUUUUUGCUUUUAGCACAAGACGUAAGGAGUUGUAAAUAUCAGCAACGACAGGCUGGAUUGUUCCUUAGGUACGCAAUUUUCGAGACGAAAGAGAGCUUGUUGAUUCACUGACCGUAACCAGGGGAAGCUAGAAAUUAUAAAUAGUGGUAAAAGCGAAAGUUAACUAAAAGUUGAAGAAAGGGAUAGUAACUUUUUUAUUGAGUCGUUCCAAGUGUUGUGAAAUAAUGUUCCUGGCUUUUGAAAUAGUGGGCGCUAUAGCACUGCCCAUGGCAUCAAGGAGAAAGAAGCCAAUGAGACUGUAUAUAUGCGGCUCAAAAACUGUCCAGGGGACGCAUUAUUUAGCAUCGGGAAUUUGUAUCAAAAAUGGAUUCUUUUUGCUAGUUGGUUUCACUCCUAGCUUCCUAGAUUUGAGACGCCGAAUGCAGGUUGUGACCCUGGCGACUGGUGCUUUGCGUUCUUUGGGGAAUUGCAAUGGAUAAGUGGUGUUAGAGUGAGAGCCAUUCCUCUGGACUUUGUAGUUUUACUUGAUGCCUUGGCAGGCGAGGAGUUGCAGCCGCUGUAGUCUCCCAUAGUUUACUCCCAUGGAAGAUAACAGCGUGUGACACAGAUUAGAUGUUUUUCCAUGAUUUAUCACUUGGUUUCUUGCUUUACUCUUCUGUUCUGUUUUGGUGAUGAAUAGUUCAAACAUUUACCUGUCUCCACCUGAACUGCAGUAAACAUCUGAUGUACCAUAACUGGAUUUCAGGUUCUUUUAAAAAGUAGAACUGCUGAAAUGUAUACAGAUCUUAAUUUCUGGAGUCAGCAUGGCCUGGUAACAUUUUACAAUCCAAUGGGCUUAAUGGGAACCACGUCCUUGAGCCUAUUGGUAAAUGUUCUUUUUGGUACCAGUGCUGGAAACUGUUAAUUAUGCUACAGAAUGAAUACUGGCAGAAUACUGAGUUAUCACUGAAAAAAGAAACUGAUAUACUUUUGACUCUGUAUGCUGUACCGUGUGUAAUACAUUUCAAAUGUAUUUUGACUGCUGAAAAAUUAAUAAAGUAGAAUUUAUAAAAGCAUUGAAGAACUUACAUUUCUGAAAAGGGAAUACUACAUGCAUGAGAGUGAAUAACCAGCCCUUUUUCUGUGGUAAUGCUGUUAUUUUGUGUGGUGUGGUUACUGUUUGAAGAAGUUCUUUCACAGAAGUGGUCAGGUAAAACUACCUUGAAGCUCACUCUGGUCAGUGUCACAUGAUAUGGAAAUGUUCUGAAGCUAGGUCAAGUUUUGCAGUGGUUGAAAUACAGUCUGGUUUAUUUAUACCUGUGUCACACACACACACACACACACACACACACACACACACACACACACACACACACUCUCUCUUAUACAGAAAUGUGACUUUGAAGAAGCAUCGCUCACUGAAGCAGAGCUCAGUAAUUACCUCACUCAGUUUAUUUUGCACAGAAACCUUCCCUGUUCUGAUUAUUUGAUCUAAACAUAUUAAUAAUAUUAAUGUGCCUGAUAAAUUGUUUGAUAAUCUGACACAGAUGCAUGGCAUUAAUCCAGGAUAUAUGUGCAAACAGCUUCCUUACUUUCCUGUUCCUACCCCCUUAACACGUAGCAUACAUCUGGAAUGCUUUUUUUCCAUUUCCACAUUAUAAUCCUAAAGCCCUUUGCUAACACAAUGCCAAUGAUCUAUACCUUGUAAUACUUCACAUUACUUUCUAUUGACAUUUUAAUAAAAAAAGGUCUGCUUACAAUGUUUGGUGUAUGUUUGGUAAAUGCGCUGAUUGCUGAAGAGGGACUUAACACAUGAAAAUGUACUGCUUGUUAUAUAAACAACUGUAAUUGGGAAAUAAAAGUGCUUAAUUCACUGGCAAGAAAAA